rnacentral:rRNA from 1 species
GAUGAACGCUGACAGAAUGCUUAACACAUGCAAGUCAACUUGGUGGCGGACGGGUGAGUAACGCGUAAAGAACUUGCCUCACAGUUAGGGACAACAUUUGGAAACGAAUGCUAAUACCUGAUACUGUGAGAGAGCUUUGCGUCCCAUUAGCUAGUUGGAGAGGUAACGGCUCACCAAGGCGAUGAUGGGUAGCCGGCCUGAGAGGGUGAUCGGCCACAAGGGGACUGAGACACGGCCCUUACUCCUACGGGAGGCAGCAGUGAGGAAUAUUGGUCAAUGGAUGCAAUCUGAACCAGCCAAGUAGCGUGCAGGAUGACGGCCUAUGGGUUGUAAACUGCUUUUAUGUGAGAAUAUGUAUCACAUGAAUAAGGACCGGCUAAUUCCGUGCCAGCAGCCGCGGUAAUUC